AGAUAGUAGAUGAUACAUGUGGUUUGGUUGAUGUCUUAUACUUGCAGAUUUUUGGAUGAUGUUUUCAUGUGUUUUGGAUACUCAUGGUUUCAAUCAUUCGUGGUUUUUGAACACAUGCAGUUUUAGACUCGGAUUUCUAUCAAUGAUUUUCUACCCCUCGUGGUAGCAUUUUCAAAAUAAUGGUUUUCGUGUGGGAAACAUUUUUAAAUUAUU
rnacentral:lncRNA from 1 species